AAGGAGAACAAUGUGCUUGAAGGCAUG
rnacentral:piRNA from 1 species